CUACCCCCAGCUCAAACAACUAUUUUCUAAAUGUAAUAGUUCGCUGAAAAAAAGUCGAAGUCUUUGAGAAUUGAAAGGUUAGGCUCAUGGGAUUGGGGGGGGGUUAGAAGAUUCUGGAAGGGAGACAGGAGGACAGUGAGCUCUGUGUGAAAGGAGUAAAGGAGGGGAAGCCACGUGACUUCCCAAGUCUUCCCAAGUCGAUUCCUGCAGUCACUGGCCUGUGUUUACCUUUAAAUCAGUUCGCCUAUUUGGUCUUCAGUUUUAUUCUGUGUCAAAUGGGGUUGGGAAGUCAAGAUGUCCUUCCAGGGUGUUAUCCAGGUUGACUAAGUGUAGUCUCGGGUUAUUUUCUUUUGAGAAAUAAUGGAUAGCACUUUUGUACUUUGGUGGAAGUUCUUUGAUGUGUAAGUUAGUCUCACCUUUAUAAAGCAUUUUAAAAAAUUUUUUGAAGACUCUUUCGUCGUUGGAACGGUAUUGUUGGCUAUGCUUUAAAACGUUUGUCUAGCUCCAUUUGUUCAGAUAAAAACUAAACCAAGAAUGUUCUGAAAGCAAUGGCAGUUAUUUUAGGUGGACGGAACAACCUCUGAUUUCGCUGCUACAUUUUUUAUGUUCACUGGGCAAACAAAUCAAACGAGUCUUUAAACAGCAGAGGAAUUAGGAGAUACCUCGUGUUCAGUGGCUCGCUGGACUCACUCCGUAAGCCCACAAUUGUAUUCCACUAAUGCGUCCUGUUGGGUCAGGUUAGCACGGUCCCGCGGAGGGAUUGUCACGUCUGCACACGGCUUCGUGUCAGGUGGUCGACCUCAUUGUGAACCGAGCUGCGGUGGAUUCCUGAGCUUUAUGGACUCAAUGGCCAUGAAGCCAAUUGGUUGACAGAGGCGGAGAAUCCAAAGAGAUUUCUGGAAGGCAUUACCAGCCCUGAAUAAAAGAUACGCACUGGUCCACAUGACUCGAAUUAAGCACGUCUGGGUCUAUGUGCCCCAGAGUCGUCAUAUGACAGAGCUACCGGCACACUCGUGUUCACAGCCGCAGUAGCCACAGGGGCUGAGGUGUGGGAUCCACCCAGGUGUCCAUCAAGCAGACAAAUGAAGUAACUGUGGUGUCCCUAUGUCACAGACUCAUUCAAGCAUAAGCAAGAUUGAAGCGGCGCCAUUUGCAGAAAGAUGCCGGCUGACAAAGACGAAGAUUCCAAAGGGCACAAAGGCAAGGGCCAAGCACGAUGCCAUACUAAAGUGAAAAUAAGAGUUUAAAAGAUGGAACCCCUAGGAGCUGAGGAGAAAUGAAGUCCAAGGAAGAGGUCAUGGGUAUAAAGGAAAUUGCUUAGGGGAUUCUGAACUCUUUACAGUUAUGCUCAAGUUGACCAUAGAGGUCAACUAUGAUGAUGAUGAUGAUGAUGAUGAUGGUGAUGCUGAUGCUGAUGCUGAUGAUGAUAAAGUUGGGUAAUGUUGAAGGCAGUCCAGAGAGCCGUGCCCUUCAGUGGAGCCUCACUGGGAAUCUUGGUAAAUAUGAAGUAACAAAUGUGCAAGCAAGGAGAAGGCACAAUGGCCUCAAAUCAUCUGCAGCACAUUCAACUGUGCAGACAAGAGGACUUGUGACUUUGGCUCACUACAGGACGAGUUUUUGUCACUGUAUACUGUCCUCAUUCAGCAAACAAGAGGACAGCAUUGAUUUAUGACUCCAUGAUUUUCAUUUGACUUUCUGUCUAGAUACCACUUUUCUCACUAUGACCCCCUUAACAUCUAAUAUGUUUUUGCAUUUAAAUAGUACAUUGCAGUUUUAAUUGCCCAAAGAAACAACCAGAAGUUUAUCAAUACUU
rnacentral:sRNA from 1 species